AGAAAAAUUUCCAAUAUUUGAAUAUUUAAUUUUUUAUAUAAUAUUAAUGCUCUUAUUGCUAUUAUUUGUAUUAUUUCGUAGAAUGCCUACAUUGAAUAACAGAAAUAAUGGACAACUAUUACCAAUUUGACGAAGUUAAAAUCUAAUGAAUGAAAAUCUAAAAUUACUUUAAUAAAAAAAAAAAAUUAUAUAUUAUAAAAAUAUUUAUAUAAAAUUUUAUAUUUAGUGAUAAUAUAUUUAUAUUUUUGAUAUUUCUCUAUUCUGUUCCUUGUAACAUCCCGUAGCACCCCUAAAUAAUUAACAGUGUGUGGGGGGUGAGGGCGGAGCUGGCAGGGUUGGGUUGGGAAGUCAUCAGGGCCACCAGGAGCAGAAUUGAGAAAUACUUUAGUUCUCAUAAUUAUAGUAGUAAUAUUGUCCAUUGUCAGGCAGUUGUCCGGAGAGAGAUCUUGUUGUGUCUUGCCCACAACAAAACCUGGUAUCAUGUUGGUCUGGAGUAGGUGAAAUCAUCAUAAAAGUGGUGGAAGAAUGGUUUUGAAAGCUUUUGGUAGCUUUGAAAACAACUCAAAUCAUCUCCUGACUGCAUGUAUGCCACUUUUGGGUCAAGUAACAAUCAGAUCUCUCUUCGUUAAAUCUUUUGGUUCUCCGCUGGUUCAAGUGUUGAGGUUCAGUGGAGCACUACACAAGCAAUGCAAGUAAAAUUGUUCAUUGCAGCUGGCCACUCGGAGAUGGUGUCUUGCCAAGCACAACAGACCAUGAAACCCCUGGCCGUUAAGUUUGAUUGCUUGGAGACCCCUUGAAUGAAUUCACUGUCCCUCAGCUCAGAUCACUGUGUGGGGGUGGGGGGAUGGGAAAAAACAACAACAUGAUAAUCAGUUUUAAAAAGUUGCUGCCUUAAAUUUUUAAGUACAGUCAACUUAUGCUGUAUAAGUCAUUUCAAACUUAAAUUACAUGAAACUAACUUUAAAAAAAAUGAGUUAAAUCUUGCAUAAUAGACAGCAACAUAUUUCUGGUCCAGAUCCAGCCCACAUCUGGCCCGUGUGAAAUCCAUGCGGGCCAGAUGUGGGCCGGAUCUGGGCCGACACGUCUUGCUGUCUGGGGUGUAACUUGAUAAAACUCAUUUUGAGUUAGAAUGUAAAAACACGUUGUCAUGACUUCUUGUGUGUAACAAUGCUGAGUGACUUAAGAAAGAAAGAAAAAAAAAACCUGUUUACUCAUUAUUGAUUGAAUAAAUGAUGAACAUGA